AUGGGCUCAGAUCCGAUUUACUACAGGUGGAGGCUGCGAUUCCGGCUAGCUCUGGUGGCGCUCGCGAUGGCUGGACGAAUCGAGGCGGAGCUCGCGGCGUGGAUGCAUAGCAGAGAUCUGCGAUGGACGCGCCGACUUCUACGGAUUCGGUGGCGGGUCGCGGAGUUCUUCACGGGCCUGAACAUGACGAAGGUGAUUGUGCGUGCUUCUUGUUGCUGUGAGAAGGGUUGGCCGCCUGAUGAUGUGGAAUCACCGGCGUUUGCAUAG